rnacentral:rRNA from 1 species
UACGGAGGGUGCAAGCGUUGUCCGGAAUUAUUGGGCGUAAAGCGCGCGCAGGUGGUUUCUUAAGUCUGAUGUGAAAGCCCACGGCUCAACCGUGGAGGGUCAUUGGAAACUGGGGAACUUGAGUGCAGGAGAGAAGAGUGGAAUUCCACGUGUAGCGGUGAAAUGCGUAGAGAUGUGGAGGAACACCAGUGGCGAAGGCGACGUCCUGGACCGGCAUUGACGCUGAGGCGCGAAAGCCAGGGGAGACAAACGGG